UACGAAGGGGGCUAGCGUUAAUCGGAAUGACUGGGCGUAAAGGGCGCGUAGGCGGUUGUGACAGUCAGACGUGAAAUUCCUGGGCUCAACCUGGGGGCUGCGUUUGAGACUUCGGGACUGGAGUGCGGAAGAGGGUCGUGGAAUUCCCAGUGUAGAGGUGAAAUUCGUAGAUAUUGGGAAGAGCACCGGUGGCGAAGGCGGCGACCUGGUCCGUGACUGACGCUGAGGCGCGAAAGCGUGGGUAGCAAACAGG
rnacentral:rRNA from 1 species